GACGAACGCUGGCGGCGUGCUUAACACAUGCAGGUCGAACGGAAAGGCCCUGCUUUUGUGGGGUGCUCGAGUGGCGAACGGGUGAGUAACACGUGAGUAACCUGCCCUUGACUUUGGGAUAACUUCAGGAAACUGGGGCUAAUACCGGAUAGGAGCUCCUGCUGCACGGUGGGGGUUGGAAAGUUUCGGCGGUUGGGGAUGGACUCGCGGGUUAUCAGCUUGUUGGUGGGGUAGUGGCUUACCAAGGCUUUGACGGGUAGCCGGCCUGAGAGGGUGACCGGCCACAUUGGGACUGAGAUACGGCCCAGACUCCUACGGGAGGCAGCAGUGGGGAAUAUUGCACAAUGGGCGGAAGCCUGAUGCAGCAACGCCGCGUGCGGGAUGACGGCCUUCGGGUGGUAAACCGCUUUCGCCUGUGACGAAGCGGGAGUGACGGUAAUGGGUAAAGAAGCACCGGCUAACUACGUG
rnacentral:rRNA from 1 species